GGUCCAGAGGGUCCAGAAUGUCCAGAUGGUCCAGAAGGUCCAGAAGGUCCAGAGGAUCCAGAAGGUCCAGAAGGUGCAGAAGGUCCAGAUGUGUCCGGUUCUGAGAAGAGAUUCUUCUGUUAAAGGAAGUAAAAGGUUUCUGUAAAAACAUGGCGUCCAUGUUGUGUUCAGUGAUGAUGUCAUCGGUUCAGAACCAACAGCUGAUCUGUGAGGAUCAGACACAUCAGGUGAGUUUCAGCUGGAUGUUGAGGAUUUCAUUUGAAACUGAUAUCAGACAUCCAUGCAGGCUGGAGAGGAGGAGGAGGAGGAGGAGGAGGAGGAGGAGGAGGAGGAG